rnacentral:ncRNA from 1 species
AAUUAAGGGGAAGAUUUGAACUGAUUGCAACCUCUUUUAUUGACACUAUUUUAAAUACCAAAAUAGCGGCAGUAAAACAAAAUGCUAAAGCAGUAUGU